UGCAGUCGAGCGAGACCUUCGGGUCUAGCGGCGGACGGGUUAGUAACGCGUGGGAACGUGCCCUUCUCUGCGGAAUAGCCACUGGAAACGGUGAGUAAUACCGCAUACGCCCUUCGGGGGAAAGAUUUAUCGGAGAAGGAUCGGCCCGCGUUAGAUUAGAUAGUUGGUGGGGUAACGGCCUACCAAGUCUACGAUCUAUAGCUGGUUUUAGAGGAUGAUCAGCAACACUGGGACUGAGACACGGCCCAGACUCCUACGGGAGGCAGCAGUGGGGAAUCUUAGACAAUGGGCGCAAGCCUGAUCUAGCCAUGCCGCGUGUGUGAUGAAGGUCUUAGGAUCGUAAAGCACUUUCGCCAGGGAUGAUAAUGACAGUACCUGGUAAAGAAACCCCGGCUAACUCCGUGCCAGCAGCCGCGGUAAUACGGAGGGGGUUAGCGUUGUUCGGAAUUACUGGGCGUAAAGCGCGCGUAGGCGGAUUGGAAAGUUGGGGGUGAAAUCCCGGGGCUCAACCCCGGAACUGCCUCCAAAACUAUCAGUCUAGAGUUCGAGAGAGGUGAGUGGAAUUCCAAGUGUAGAGGUGAAAUUCGUAGAUAUUUGGAGGAACACCAGUGGCGAAGGCGGCUCACUGGCUCGAUACUGACGCUGAGGUGCGAAAGUGUGGGGAGC
rnacentral:rRNA from 1 species